AAAUUGAAGAGUUUGAUCAUGGCUCAGAUUGAACGCUGGCGGCAGGCCUAACACAUGCAAGUCGAACGGUAACAGGAAUCAGCUUGCUGAUUCGCUGACGAGUGGCGGACGGGUGAGUAAUGUCUGGGAAACUGCCUGAUGGAGGGGGAUAACUACUGGAAACGGUAGCUAAUACCGCAUAACGUCGCAAGACCAAAGAGGGGGACCUUCGGGCCUCUUGCCAUCGGAUGUGCCCAGAUGGGAUUAGCUAGUAGGUGGGGUAACGGCUCACCUAGGCGACGAUCCCUAGCUGGUCUGAGAGGAUGACCAGCCACACUGGAACUGAGACACGGUCCAGACUCCUACGGGAGGCAGCAGUGGGGAAUAUUGCACAAUGGGCGCAAGCCUGAUGCAGCCAUGCCGCGUGUAUGAAGAAGGCCUUCGGGUUGUAAAGUACUUUCAGCGGGGAGGAAGGGAGUAAAGUUAAUACCUUUGCUCAUUGACGUUACCCGCAGAAGAAGCACCGGCUAACUCCGUGCCAGCAGCCGCGGUAAUACGGAGGGUGCAAGCGUUAAUCGGAAUUACUGGGCGUAAAGCGCACGCAGGCGGUUUGUUAAGUCAGAUGUGAAAUCCCCGGGCUCAACCUGGGAACUGCAUCUGAUACUGGCAAGCUUGAGUCUCGUAGAGGGGGGUAGAAUUCCAGGUGUAGCGGUGAAAUGCGUAGAGAUCUGGAGGAAUACCGGUGGCGAAGGCGGCCCCCUGGACGAAGACUGACGCUCAGGUGCGAAAGCGUGGGGAGCAAACAGGAUUAGAUACCCUGGUAGUCCACGCCGUAAACGAUGUCGACUUGGAGGUUGUGCCCUUGAGGCGUGGCUUCCGGAGCUAACGCGUUAAGUCGACCGCCUGGGGAGUACGGCCGCAAGGUUAAAACUCAAAUGAAUUGACGGGGGCCCGCACAAGCGGUGGAGCAUGUGGUUUAAUUCGAUGCAACGCGAAGAACCUUACCUGGUCUUGACAUCCACGGAAGUUUUCAGAGAUGAGAAUGUGCCUUCGGGAACCGUGAGACAGGUGCUGCAUGGCUGUCGUCAGCUCGUGUUGUGAAAUGUUGGGUUAAGUCCCGCAACGAGCGCAACCCUUAUCCUUUGUUGCCAGCGGUCCGGCCGGGAACUCAAAGGAGACUGCCAGUGAUAAACUGGAGGAAGGUGGGGAUGACGUCAAGUCAUCAUGGCCCUUACGACCAGGGCUACACACGUGCUACAAUGGCGCAUACAAAGAGAAGCGACCUCGCGAGAGCAAGCGGACCUCAUAAAGUGCGUCGUAGUCCGGAUUGGAGUCUGCAACUCGACUCCAUGAAGUCGGAAUCGCUAGUAAUCGUGGAUCAGAAUGCCACGGUGAAUACGUUCCCGGGCCUUGUACACACCGCCCGUCACACCAUGGGAGUGGGUUGCAAAAGAAGUAGGUAGCUUAACCUUCGGGAGGGCGCUUACCACUUUGUGAUUCAUGACUGGGGUGAAGUCGUAACAAGGUAACCGUAGGGGAACCUGCGGUUGGAUCACCUCCUUA
rnacentral:rRNA from 2 species